GGUGGGUUGGCUCAGUGGUUAGAGCGUAGGUCUCGUAACGGAAAGGUUGCGGGAUCGAAUCCUGCUAGAGGCUG
rnacentral:tRNA from 1 species